ACUUGAUUGGAGAGCAUAUUCU
rnacentral:misc_RNA from 1 species